UACGAAGGGGGCUAGCGUUGUUCGGAAUUACUGGGCGUAAAGGGCGCGUAGGCGGCUGUCCAAGUCAGAUGUGAAAGCCCUGGGCUUAACCCAGGAAGUGCAUUUGAAACUCACGAACUUGAGUCCCGGAGAGGAAGGCGGAAUUCUCGGUGUAGAGGUGAAAUUCGUAGAUAUCGAGAGGAACAUCGGUGGCGAAGGCGGCCUUCUGGACGGUGACUGACGCUGAGAUGCGAAAGCGUGGGGAGCAAACAGG
rnacentral:rRNA from 1 species